GACGAACCGAGCGAACGUUGUUCGGAAUCACUGGGCUUAAAGGGCGCGUAGGCGGGCACUCAAGUCUGUGGUGAAAUCCGGCAGCUUAACUGUCGAACUGCCGUGGAUACUGGGUGUCUCGAGGGAGGUAGGGGCGUGCGGAACUGAUGGUGGAGCGGUGAAAUGCGCAGAUAUCAGGAGGAACACCGGUGGCGAAGGCGGGUCUCUGGGCAACAACUGACGCUGAGGAGCGAAAGCGUGGGGAGCGAACAGG
rnacentral:rRNA from 1 species